rnacentral:rRNA from 1 species
UGGGGAAUAUUGCACAAUGGAGGGAACUCUGAUGCAGCGACGCCGCGUGAGUGAUGAAGGAAUUCGUUUCGUAAAACUCUGUUCUAUGGGAAGAAAAGGACUGUACCAUAGGAGAAAGCUCCGGCUAAAUACGUGCCAGCAGCCGCGGUAAUACGUAUGGAGCGAGCGUUGUCCGGAAUUAUUGGGCGUAAAGGGUGCGCAGGCGACUUUACAAGUUGGAUGUGAAAUAUUGUGGCUCAACCACAAACGUGCAUCCAAAACUGCAAAGCUUGAGUUAAGGAGAGGUAAGUGGAAUUCCUGGUGUAGCGGUGGAAUGCGUAGAUAUCAGGAGGAAUACCGGUGGCGAAGGCGACUUACUGGACUUCAACUGACGCUCAGGCACGAAGGCGUGGGGAGCAAACAGG